rnacentral:lncRNA from 1 species
GGUAAAUACACACUAAAAGCGAUAUGGCUAAGGUACAAAUCUGUGUCACUCAAAUUUCUAAAAUUUCUACUAUGAUGGGAGUUUCUUAGUGAAUGCUCUACCAACCAUGUUUUCCCGAACUGCGUUUUAAGCAUUAAGCUUCCUUACGACUGCUCAUCGUUCUUGGGUUCCAUUAGGAUCAAGUGUCUCAAUAAGUUAAUCAGCACCAGCAAACGUAAGUCCUUUAAAUUUCGAACCCUACGAGAUUCUUUUGAAGCGGAACUCCGCCUGCUUGAUAACCACCGCGCCUGCGAAAUUGUCGCCGACACGUAUGCCUUCUUGGCCCUCAACGCCGCUAAAAUGCGGAACAAAUUCAUUAAGAAACUUCGGUGGCUUAUUAAAACUCAACCCAGGUACGGAUGCGAGCAUGAGUUCGACUUCUCCCAGGACAUUAUUUCUUACGGGGGCAUUUCGAUCCCUGACUUUGUGAAGGUAGCUCUCAAAUAUGAACCUAAGUUUGUUCCCUACCGGAACUGCGGGUUACCGAAAGCAGCCAAUGCACUU